UCAUGAGAAGUCCACUGAACCUUAUCAUUUAGAGGAAGGAGAACCCGUAACAAGGUUUCCGUAGGUGAACCUGCGGAAGGAUCAUUG
rnacentral:rRNA from 1 species